AUUGAACGCUGGCGGAAUGCUUUACACAUGCAAGCCGAGCGGCAGCGCGGGGGCAACCCUGGCGGCGAGCGGCGAACGGGUGAGUAACAUAUCGGAACGUACCCUGUCGUGGGGGAUAACACAGCGAAAGCUGUGCUAAUACCGCAUACGACCUGAGGGUGAAAGCGGGGGAUCGCAAGACCUCGCGCGAUAGGAGCGGCCGAUAUCGGAUUAGCGUGUUGGUGAGGUAAAGGCUCACCAAGGCGACGAUCCGUAGCUGGUCGGAGAGGACGCCCAGCCACACUGGAACUGAGACACGGUCCAGACUCCUACGGGAGGCAGCAGUGGGGAAUUUUGGACAAUGGGGGCAACCCUGAUCCAGCCAUUCCGCGUGAGUGAAGAAGGCCUUCGGGUUGUAAAGCUCUUUCGGCAGGAACGAAACGGCAGGCUCUAACAUAGUCUGUCAAUGACGGUACCUGAAGAAGAAGCACCGGCUAACUACGUGCCAGCAGCCGCCGUAA
rnacentral:rRNA from 1 species